AUUGAACGCUGGCGGCAUGCUUUCCACAUGCAAGUCGAACGGCAGCGCGGGCUUCGGCCUGGCGGCGAGUGGCGAACGGGUGAGUAAUACAUCGGAACGUGCCCAGUAGUGGGGGAUAGCUCGGCGAAAGCCGGAUUAAUACCGCAUACGACCUGAGGGUGAAAGCGGGGGAUCUUCGGACCUCGCGCUAUUGGAGCGGCCGAUGGCAGAUUAGCUAGUUGGUGGGGUAAAGGCCUACCAAGGCGACGAUCUGUAGCUGGUCUGAGAGGACGACCAGCCACACUGGGACUGAGACACGGCCCAGACUCCUACGGGAGGCAGCAGUGGGGAAUUUUGGACAAUGGGCGAAAGCCUGAUCCAGCAAUGCCGCGUGUGUGAUGAAGGCCUUCGGGUUGUAAAGCACUUUUGGCGGGAACGAAAAGGACUGUGCCAAUACCACGGUUCGAUGACGGUACCCGCAGAAUAAGCACCGGCUAACUACGUG
rnacentral:rRNA from 1 species